GAAAUGACUGCUAAUACCGCAUAAGACCACAGCACCGCAUGGUGCAGGGGUAAAAACUCCGGUGGUAUGAGAUGGACCCGCGUCUGAUUAGCUGGUUGGUGGGGUAACGGCCUACCAAGGCGACGAUCAGUAGCCGACCUGAGAGGGUGACCGGCCACAUUGGGACUGAGACACGGCCCAAACUCCUACGGGAGGCAGCAGUGGGGAAUAUUGCACAAUGGGGGAAACCCUGAUGCAGCGACGCCGCGUGAAGGAUGAAGUAUUUCGGUAUGUAAACUUCUAUCAGCAGGGAAGAAAAUGACGGUACCUGACUAAGAAGCCCCGGCUAACUACGUGCCAGCAGCCGCGGUAAUACGUAGGGGGCAAGCGUUAUCCGGAUUUACUGGGUGUAAAGGGAGCGUAGACGGUAUGGCAAGUCUGAUGUGAAAGGCCAGGGCUCAACCCUGGGACUGCAUUGGAAACUGUCGAACUAGAGUGUCGGAGAGGCAAGUGGAAUUCCUAGUGUAGCGGUGAAAUGCGUAGAUAUUAGGAGGAACACCAGUGGCGAAGGCGGCUUGCUGGACGAUGACUGACGUUGAGGCUCGAAAGCGUGGGGAGCAAACAGGAUUAGAUACCCUGGUAGUCCACGCCGUAAACGAUGACUACUAGGUGUCGGGUAGCAGAGCUAUUCGGUGCCGCAGCCAACGCAAUAAGUAGUCCACCUGGGGAGUACGUUCGCAAGAAUGAAACUCAAAGGAAUUGACG
rnacentral:rRNA from 1 species